CCAAUGGAUUGGCCUGCUGCUGCUUAUGUUCUUCUUGGCCGGGAGGAUUUGGCUUUCUCACGCUUAGCAUAUUCAAGAAAAUCUGUGGAGCUUGAGCCCCACAUUAAUGUAAAUAUGACAUGUAUGUCCACUCCUUACAUGUUGAACCUGCAUCUGGUGACAAUUCCUUCCUCAAUAUCUGACACAAUAGAGGCAGAUGACAACAUACAUGUUGAACCUGCAUCCGGUGACAAUUCCUUCCUCAAUAUCUGAGACAAUAGAGGCAGAUGACAACAAGCUAGAGGAUGUAGAUUCUGUUGAGGGAUCUGUGGCUGAUGGUAUGGAGCAUAUUUUCAACUCUGGCAUCCAGUUGCGUUAUGGUCGUGA
rnacentral:lncRNA from 1 species